UGGCCUAGAAAUCCCAAAAGUUAGGCCACCAAUCUAUUUUGUGCGAAAAAACC
ensembl:ncRNA Y82E9BR.28 ncRNA